UGCAGCAGGCGCGAAAACUUUACAAUGCGGGAAACCGUGAUAAGGGGACACCGAGUGCCAGCAUCAUAUGCUGGCUGUCCGGGUGUGUAAAAUACACCCGUUAGCAAGGGCCGGGCAAGACCGGUGCCAGCCGCCGCGGUAACACCGGCGGCCCGAGUGGUGAUCGUGAUUAUUGGGUCUAAAGGGUCCGUAGCCGGUUUGGUCAGUCCUCCGGGAAAUCUGACGGCUCAACCGUUAGGCUUUCGGGGGAUACUGCCAGGCUUGGAACCGGGAGAGGUAAGAGGUACUACAGGGGUAGGAGUGAAAUCUUGUAAUCCCUGUGGGACCACCUGUGGCGAAGGCGUCUUACCAGAACGGGUUCGACGGUGAGGGACGAAAGCUGGGGGCACGAACCGGAUUAGAUACCCGGGUAGUCCCAGCCGUAAACGAUGCUCGCUAGGUGUCAGGCAUGGCGCGACCGUGUCUGGUGCCGCAGGGAAGCCGUGAAGCGAGCCACCUGGGAAGUACGGCCGCAAGGCUGAAACUUAAAGGAAUUGGCGGGGGAGCACAAGGGCGAAUUCGCGG
rnacentral:rRNA from 1 species